rnacentral:rRNA from 1 species
GUCUUUUUGAAAUAAUUUAAAGUCUAAUCUGCCCACUGAUAGUUAUAUUAAAGGGCUGCAGUAUUUUGACUGUACAAAGGUAGCAUAAUCAUUAGUCUCUUAAUUGGUGACUUGUAUGAAUGAUUGGAUGAAAUAUAAGCUGUUUCUUAUUUAUUUAUAGAAUUUAAUUUUUUCAUUAAAAAGUGAAAAUAAAUUUAAAAGACGAGAAGACCCCAUAGAGUUUUAUAUAUGAAAUAAUUUAAUAAUUAUGUUUAAGAGAAUUAAUUAAAAUUAUUUAUUAUAUUUUAUUGGGGUGAUAAAAAAAUUAAAAAAACUUUUUUAUAAUUUUUCCAUUAAUAAGUGAAUAAAUGAUCCAUUAUUAAUGAUUAAAAGAAAAAAUUACCUUGGGGAUAACAGCGUAAUUUUUUCUUUUAGUUCAAAUAGGAGAAAGAGUUUGCGACCUCGAUGUUGGAUUAAGAUAAAAUUUAAAUGCAAAAGUUUAAAAUUUUGAUCUGUUCGAUCAUUAAAAUCUUACAUGAUCUGAGUUCAAACCGGUGUAAGCCAGGUUGGUUUCUAUCUUUAAAUAAAUUAAAUAUUUUAGUACGAAAGGAUUGAAUAUUUAAAAUAAUUUUUAAUUUUAGAAUUUUAUUAAUUUGAUUAUAUAAUUAAAAUUUUUAUUUUAUUAAUAUAU